AUUGAACGCUGGCGGCAUGCCUUACACAUGCAAGUCGAACGGCAGCACGGGGGCAACCCUGGUGGCGAGUGGCGAACGGGUGAGUAAUGCAUCGGAACGUGUCCUCUUGUGGGGGAUAACCAGUCGAAAGAUUGGCUAAUACCGCAUGAGAUCGCAAGAUGAAAGCGGGGGACCGCAAGGCCUCGCGCGAGAGGAGCGGCCGAUGCCGGAUUAGCUAGUUGGUGGGGUAAAAGCCUACCAAGGCGACAAUCCGUAGCUGGUCUGAGAGGACGACCAGCCACACUGGGACUGAGACACGGCCCAGACUCCUACGGGAGGCAGCAGUGGGGAAUUUUGGACAAUGGGCGCAAGCCUGAUCCAGCCAUGCCGCGUGUGUGAAGAAGGCCUUCGGGUUGUAAAGCACUUUCGGACGGAACGAAAUCGCGCGGACGAACAUUCCGCGUGGAUGACGGUACCGUAAGAAGAAGCACCGGCUAACUACGUGCCAGCCGCCGCGUAAGAC
rnacentral:rRNA from 1 species